AUUGAACGCUGGCGGCAUGCUUUACACAUGCAAGUCGAACGGCAGCGCGGGCUUCGGCCUGGCGGCGAGUGGCGAACGGGUGAGUAAUGCAUCGGAACGUGCCCAGUAGUGGGGGAUAGCCCGGCGAAAGCCGGAUUAAUACCGCAUACGACCUGAGGGUGAAAGCGGGGGACCGAAAGGCCUCGCGCUAUUGGAGCGGCCGAUGUCGGAUUAGCUAGUUGGUGGGGUAAAGGCUUACCAAGGCGACGAUCCGUAGCUGGUCUGAGAGGACGACCAGCCACACUGGGACUGAGACACGGCCCAGACUCCUACGGGAGGCAGCAGUGGGGAAUUUUGGACAAUGGGGGCAACCCUGAUCCAGCCAUGCCGCGUGCGGGAAGAAGGCCUUCGCGUUGUAAACCGCUUUUGUUCGGGAAGAAAUCCUCUGGGCUAAUACCCCGGGGGGAUGACGGUACCGGAAGAAUAAGCACCGGCUAACUACGUG
rnacentral:rRNA from 1 species